CCUACGGGAGGCAGCAGUAGGGAAUAUUGCUCAAUGGGGGAAACCCUGAAGCAGCAACGCCGCGUGGAGGAUGAAGGUUUUAGGAUUGUAAACCCCUGUUGUGAGAGAAGAUAAUGACGGUAUCUCACGAAUAAGCACCGGAUAACUCCGUUCCAGCAGCCGCGGUACUAAGGAGGGUGCAAGCGUUACGCGGAAUCACUGGGCGUAAAGAGUGCGCAGGCGGGCUUGUAAGUCAGAUGUGAAAGGCUGUAGCUUAACUACAGAACUGCAUUUGAAACUGUGAGACUGGAGUGUGGGAGAGGUAGGUGGAAUUCUUGGUGUAGGGGUGAAAUGCGUAGAUAUCAAGAGGAAUACUCAUUGCGAAGGCGGCCUACUGGAACAUUACUGACGCUCAGGCACGAAAGCGUGGGGAGCAAACAGGAUUAGAUACCCGGGUAGUC
rnacentral:rRNA from 1 species